UAGCCGUAAACGAUACUCGCUAGGUGUCGGCCACGGUGCGACCGUUGUCGGUGCCGUAGGGAAGCCGUGAAGCGAGCCACCUGGGAAGUACGGCCGCAAGGCUGAAACUUAAAGGAAUUGGCGGGGGAGCACCACAACGGGUGGAGCUUGCGGUUUAAUUGGAUUCAACGCCGGAAAUCUUACCGGGACCGACAGCAACAUGAAGGCCAGGCUGAAGACUUUGCCGGAUUAGCUGAGAGGUGGUGCAUUGGCGUAGUCGUGU
rnacentral:rRNA from 1 species